AUAGAGGAGUUGUUAUGAAGGAGUUGUCAUGGUGGAGUUGUCAUGGAAGAGUUGUCAUGAAGGAGUUGUCAUGGGGGAGUUUUCAUGGGGAGUUGUCAUGGAAGAGUUGUCAUGGAGGAGUUGUCAUGGAGGAGUUGUCAUGGAGGAUUUGUCAUGAAGAAGUUGUCAUGAAGGAGUUGUCAUGGGAGAGUUGUCAUGAAGGAGUUGUCAUGGGUAGUUGUCAUGGGGGAGUUGUCAUGAAGGAGUUGUUAUAGGAG
ensembl:lncRNA